rnacentral:piRNA from 1 species
UCUUUUAAACUCAUCUGGGCUUGAAGAAGG